UCGAAUCUUAGGCUCUAAUUACGUAUACAUCUUGUGUGGGUUUUCUUUCGGAUAACCCUCAAUAAAUUGGGGAUAAGUUCCCGAACUGAACUGAAAGACGAAGAAAGACUCGAUACACGUCGGGUUAGAUGUAUCUUGUGGCUUGGUUCGAGCACAGCUCGUUGAAUCUACUAAACUAUAUAUUGGUAUCGGGAACGGUACCGUUAUCCUUAUCGGUAUGGGUAUGGGUAUGGGUAUGGGUAUGGGGUCACGGGUAUCAUAUCUCUCUUUAGCGUACAACUUACGAUCAAUUAACGGAACGAGAUCAAAAGCAAUUUCGCAUGCGAGCGGGAAAACAAAGCGAGCUCGCGAACUACUACUAUUUCUCAAAUAUUCUGGUGUCUCUGGUCUCUGUUUCUAUGCUCUAUCCAGAGACUAGAGAAACAAAUGGAGAAAAACAAGAUGAUUUUUUCAAAACCAAUAAUUUAUUUUCGUUUGCCAGGGCAAACGAUUUGUCGUCGUCCUCCUUCUCGGGGCUACUGUCGGAUAAUCUCAUCAACGCUUUGUCAUUAAACUAAACAUAAUAAUAAUAAAAUUAGGAAUUAAUUUAAUUUAAGAGUUAAAAACACUACACAUUACUUAAAGAAACAGCUUCAGUUUAGUCGAACUUCGGCGCGAACUAAACAAAUUCGUUUACAAAUAAACAGAGUUAACUAAAAUUGCAUUAUUUUAUUCCAUUAGCACAAA